rnacentral:rRNA from 1 species
UGUAGUCAUAUGCUUGUCUCAAAGAUUAAGCCAUGCAUGUCUAAGUAUAAGCAAUUACAAAGCGAAACUGCGAAUGGCUCAUUAUAUAAGUUAUCGUUUAUUUGAUAGUACCUUACUACAUGGAUAACCGUGGUAAUUCUAGAGCUAAUACAUGCUGAAAAUCCCGACUUCGGAAGGGAUGUAUUUAUUAGAUACAAAACCAAUGCCCUUCGGGGCUCUCUUGGUGAUUCAUGAUAACUUCUCGAAUCGCACGGCCCCGCGCCGGCGAUGGUUCAUUCAAAUUUCUUCCCUAUCAACUUUCGAUGCUACGGUAUUGUCCUAGCAUGGUUGCAACGGGAGACGGAGGGUUAGGGCUCGACCCCGGAGAAGGAGCCUGAGAAACGGCUACUACAUCCAAGGAAGGCAGCAGGCGCGCAAAUUACCCAAUCCCGAUACGGGGAGGUAGUGACGAUAAAUACCGAUACAGGGCUCUUUUGGGUCCUGUAAUUGGAAUGAGUACAAUUCAAAUCCCUUAACGAGGAACAAUUGGAGGGCAAGUCUGGU